AAAGUUAUAAUAUGAAUUACUUAUAUAUACCCAUAAUAUGGAUGGGAGUUUCUACCGGAAGCCGUAAAUUUCCGACUAUAAGUGAGGGUUAAUUUUGU
rnacentral:ncRNA from 2 species